UGUUUUUUUUUUCAACUUUUGCAUGAGCCAAUAGGAAUUGCUGCUGAGCACGCCAAAACACCUGGCCAGCAAAUUUUGCACGUGCAAGUUGUCUGCAGCAAAGGCGAAUUGGCAGAAACUUUGCAUCCCUCUCUGCUACCGAACUACACCAUCUCCUAGUUAGUCCCGAAGAUACCUGGAGGAGACUGGAGCAGCGACGCCACGAUGGUGUCAAAUGAAGGACAAUUUCUUGCUAAAGCAAAGAAUAGAUCUCAGGGGAAAAUAAGGAAAUAAGGAACAAGAAUGAGAGUUAUAAUAGAAUGGCUGCAGGAAAAGAAUAAGCCCUAUAUGAAAAUGUUUUACAAAAAAAGAUUGAUCUCCAAAGAAAAUAAAUCAAAAGAGGAUGUAGGGGAAGAGGAUAUGGAAACAGCUUGGAACAAAGUGAAAAGAAUUAUGCCAAAUAAGAGGGCGGAAUUAUCAGAGGGGGAAGAAUGGAAAAAGAUAAUUGAUGGAUGACGAAGUGAAGAAGACUGUAAAUGGGAAAAAAAAUGCUACUAAAAAUGAGAAAAGAAAAAUACUGUACAAUAUGUAUAUAAAAAAAACAAUAAUUCCAAAGAAUGUCAUCAAAGACAGUGAGAAAUAGUUAAGAGCACAAGAGUCAGAACUGCAAAGUGAUUUGGUGAAAGUGAAAAAAAAAA